AAAUUCCUUGUCGGGUAAGUUCCGACCCGCACGAAAGGCGUAACGAUUUGGGCACUGUCUCAACAACAGACUCGGUGAAAUUGUAAUUCCGGUGAAGAUGCCGGAUUCCUGCGACAGGACGGAAAGACCCCAUGGAGCUUUACUGUAGCUUGACAUUGGGUCUUGGUACUACAUGUACAGGAUAGGUGGGAGGCUUUGAAACCAGGACGCCAG
rnacentral:rRNA from 1 species